UGGGGAAUAUUGCACAAUGGGCGCAAGCCUGAUGCAGCCAUGCCGCGUGUAUGAAGAAGGCCUUCGGGUUGUAAAGUACUUUCAGCGAGGAGGAAGGCAUUAAGGUUAAUAACCUUGGUGAUUGACGUUACUCGCAGAAGAAGCACCGGCUAACUCCGUGCCAGCAGCCGCGGUAAUACGGAGGGUGCAAGCGUUAAUCGGAAUUACUGGGCGUAAAGCGCACGCAGGCGGUCUGUCAAGUCGGAUGUGAAAUCCCCGGGCUCAACCUGGGAACUGCAUUCGAAACUGGCAGGCUAGAGUCUUGUAGAGGGGGGUAGAAUUCCAGGUGUAGCGGUGAAAUGCGUAGAGAUCUGGAGGAAUACCGGUGGCGAAGGCGGCCCCCUGGACAAAGACUGACGCUCAGGUGCGAAAGCGUGGGGAGCAAACA
rnacentral:rRNA from 2 species